AGUGAACGCUGGCGGUAGGCCUAACACAUGCAAGUCGAACGGCAGCACAGUAAGAGCUUGCUCUUACGGGUGGCGAGUGGCGGACGGGUGAGGAAUACAUCGGAAUCUACUUUUUCGUGGGUGAUAACGUAGGGACACUUACGCUACUACCGCAUACGACCUACGGGUGAAAUCAGGGGAUCUUCGGACCUUGCGCGAUUGAAUGAGCCGAUGUCGGAUUAGCUAGUUGGCGAGGUAAAGGCCCACCAAGGCGACGAUCCGUAGCUGGUCUGAGAGGAUGAUCGGCCACACUGGAACUGAGACACGGUCCAGACUCCUACGGGAGGCAGCAGUGGGGAAUAUUGGACAAUGGGCGAAAGCCUGAUCCAGCAAUGCCGCGUGGGUGAAGAAGGCCUUCGGAUUGUAAAGCCCUUUUGUUGGGAAAGAAAAGCAGCAGGUUAAUACCCGGCUGUUCUGACGGUACCCAAAGAAUAAGCACCGGCUAACUUCGUG
rnacentral:rRNA from 1 species